AUUGAGCGCUGGCGGCAUGCCUUACACAUGCAAGUCGAACGGCAGCACGGGAGCAAUCCUGGUGGCGAGUGGCGAACGGGUGAGUAAAGUAUCGGAACGUGCCCAGUCGUGGGGGAUAACGUAGCGAAAGUUACGCUAAUACCGCAUACGAUCUAUGGAUGAAAGCGGGGGAUCGCAAGACCUCGCGCGAUUGGAGCGGCCGAUAUCAGAUUAGGUAGUUGGUGGGGUAAGGCUCACCAAGCCGACGAUCUGUAGCUGGUCUGAGAGGACGACCAGCCACACUGGGACUGAGACACGGCCCAGACUCCUACGGGAGGCAGCAGUGGGGAAUUUUGGACAAUGGGCGAAAGCCUGAUCCAGCCAUGCCGCGUGCAGGAUGAAGGCCUUCGGGUUGUAAACUGCUUUUGUACGGGACGAAAAGGUUUGGCCUAAUAAGCUGAGCUCAUGACGGUACCGUAAGAAUAAGCACCGGCUAACUACGUGCCAGCCGCCGCAGUAA
rnacentral:rRNA from 1 species